rnacentral:rRNA from 1 species
AUUGAACGCUGGCGGCAGGCCUAACACAUGCAAGUCGAGCGAGUGGCGGACGGGUGAGUAAUGUCUGGGGAACUGCCCGAUGGAGGGGGAUAACUACUGGAAACGGUAGCUAAUACCGCAUACUAUCGGAUGUGCCCAGAUGGGAUUAGCUAGUAGGUGGGGUAACGGCUCACCUAGGCGACGAUCCCUAGCUGGUCUGAGAGGAUGACCAGCCACACUGGGACUGAGACACGGCCCAGACUCCGCCGGGAGGCAGCAGUGGGGAAUAGUGCACAAUGGGCGCAAGCCUGAUGCAGCCAUGCCGCGUGUAUGAAGAAGGCCUUAGGGUUGUAAAGUACUUUCAGCGAGGAGGCGUUACGCGCAGAAGAAGCACCGGCUAACGCCGUGCCAGCAGCCGCGGUAAUUC